UUUUAAAAGGGUGGGGGAAGACAAUAUUUAACAGUAAAUAUCUCACCUGCCUGCAGAAUUAGCAAUAUGCAAAUCUACCCGAAUAUGCAAAUGAACCAGUCUUGCAAUUCAGGUAGUGCAUAUUGCUGUUGCUACCAACAGAGAGCACUAGACCAGCUCCAUAGCCAAACCCACCUAGUUGGUAGCAAACCUCAGCAAUACAAGAGAGCAGGCAAUACAUUACACAGUACACACACACAC